AUUGAACGCUGGCGGCAGGCCUAACACAUGCAAGUCGAACGAGUGGCGGACGGGUGAGUAAUGUCUGGGAAACUGCCUGAUGGAGGGGGAUAACUACUGGAAACGGUAGCUAAAACCGCAUACCAGCAGCUGUGCCCAGAUGGGAUUAGCUUGUUGGUGGGGUAACGGCUUACCAAGGCGACGAUCCCUAGCUGGUCUUCGAGGAUGACCAGCCACACUGGAACUGAGACACGGUCCAGACUCCUACGGGAGGCAGCAGUGGGGAAUAUUGCACAAUGGGCGCAAGCCUGAUGCAGCCAUGCCGCGUGUAUGAAGAAGGUCUUCGGGUUGUAAAGUACUUUCAGCGGGGAGGCGUUACCCGCAGAAUAAGCACCGGCUAACUCCGUGCCAGCAGCCGCGGUAAUAC
rnacentral:rRNA from 1 species